rnacentral:rRNA from 1 species
CCCUACGGGGUGCAGCAGGCGCGAAACCUUUACAAUGCACGAAAGUGUGAUAAGGGGAUUCCAAGUGCUUAACAAUGUUAGGCUUUUGCCAAGAGUAAAUAUCUUGGCGAAUAAGUGGUGGGCAAGACUGGUGCCAGCAGCCGCGGUAACACCAGCGCCACGAGUGGGAACCAUGAUUAUUGGGCCUAAAGCGUUCGUAGCCGGUUGUUUAAAUCUUUUGUGAAAUCGUCGGGCUUAACCUGACGGACUGCAAAAGAGACUAGACAACUAGGGACCGGAAGGGGUCAGGAGUAUUCAAAGGGGAGCGGUAAAAUGCAAUAAUCCUUUGAGGACUACCUGUGGCGAAGGCGCCUGACCAGUACGGGUCCGACGGUGAGGAACGAAAGCUAGGGGAGCAAUCCGGAUUAGAUACCCGAGUAGUCCUAGCUGUAAACGCUGCGAGCAAGGUGUUGCACAUUUUACGUGAAUGUGCAGUGUCGAAACGAAGGUGUUAUGCUCGCCGCCUGGGUAGUACGGUCGCAAGACUGAAACUUAAAGGAAUUG